UUGACAGUUUGGCUUCCCUGUUCUGGGUGGCAAAGCCUGUGGAGUACUCACCUACCUGCUGCAUGAAGGCAGCAUGGAGGGACUGUGGUGGAUUAUCUGCAAAGAUGGCCAAAAUUCUCUCAUCCCUGCAGGCACAUACAAGGUUGUUGCAUGGCAUAAGUAAAGUGACAGUUAUAGGAUACAUGCAACUUUUCAGUGACAAAGAUCUGUGCAGCAUCGACAGUACUGCCUAAUGAGGUUUCACCAUAAUGAAGUAUCACAACCAGUUUACAGACCAGAAAACUGAGACACAGGAAGGGGUGGUGACUUGAGCAAGGUGCAUCAGCUGCCAGGUUUCCAGAAGUUCCCCAGUCAUUGAGCAUUUCUGAGGCUCUUGAUGCAUAUGCCAAGUAGUUAUGGAGAAAGACACAGCAGCUUACCUCUGCAGGCAUCAUUGUGUGAAAGGAAGACCCAGGCUCUCUCACCACCCUUGAACAGAAGCCUUUUGCUAAGGUGAUAGCUACAUGUCCAAGCCUAUUGCGUGGCAUGCAUUUUGCCUUCUGCAGCCCACUAAAGGAAAUUGAAGUAUACAGAAUGCUUAUUUGGUCUACUCAGUAUCAUCCUAAAUGUAUGUACCAAUGCUUAGGAGUUUGCAGUUCACCCGCAAACCUCAGCGAUCCAAGCUCCCCUGGAUGACCAUCACUCACCAAGAAAAGAGCAAUAACAGGACCUGUUUUGCUAAUCCAGGACUGUUCUCCAGCACUAACUCUAAA
rnacentral:lncRNA from 10 species